ensembl:lncRNA
ACACAUGUGUAUGUAUGUUUUUAUUUCAUGAGUGAAUGUAAGUUUGGAAUGAAAAACAGAAAACUGUUAAAGACUUAACAAAAUCUUAUAUAUUUAAUAAAACCACAAUCUAGGGAGAAUUGGAGAAGGCACUGGCACCCCACUCCAGUACUCUUGCCUGGAAAAUCCCAUGGAUGGAGGGGCCUGGUAGGCUGUAGUCCAUGGGGUCGCUAAGAGUCUAACUCGACUGGCCAACUUCCCUUUCACUUUUCACUUUCAUGCAUUGGAGAAGGAAAUGGCAACCCAGUCCAGUGUUCUUGCCCGGAGAAUCCCAGGGACGGAGAGCCUGGUGGGAGGCCGUCUGUGGGGUCGCACAGAGUCCGACACGACUGAAGCGACUUGCAGCAGCAGCAGGGAGAAUUAGACUGAACACCAUCAGGGAGAAUUAUGGAGAAAAAAUAAAGUAUAUGAUCUAUGUCUUAGAAUGCCAAUAAGACACAGUGUAACACAUCUGUUGAAAAAGAAAUUUCUUUAGAAGUUUUAAUCAAUAUUCCCCUAAGAAUUUUGGAGACAGAAAUCUUAAUGAUGAUGAAUGUUAUUGCUACCCUAUUUGUCACUUUAAAAAGUCAGUUUUGGUAGAAUUCUAGAAGAUAAUUUCCCUGGAUAGUGGGAAGGCAGGUGUAUGUUCAGGGAAUCUAUAGAGUUGUCAGCAGAGCUGGUUGUGUUUUAUGAAGACAUACUUAUAAGUCGAGUGUUAGAUGGUAAGGGGAGAAAACUCUGAACCUAUGUGAGAUUUCUGCAGUCUGAAUCAAUGAAAUUAUAUAAAGAAGAUUUCUACAUCUUAUCAAGUGAUUUACCCAAGGCCACAAAAUUAAUAUGCUUGGAUCUUUUGACUCUGUGUCUGUUUUUCUCUAUCCUUUCAUGUUAAGUCGCUUCCCAGGAAUCAGCUCACCUCUUCUCACUUGACAGCCCUCUCUGUGAUUUCAGCUGCACUUAGAGCUUCAAGUGUCAGUAGGUGAAUUCUGUAGAACAAAACUCUUCCCUUGGGUGCUAGAUUUCCAUGUCGGCAUCCUGCUGGACAUUUCCAUAAAGAAUAUCAAUCAGGUACCUGUAAUGUUCCCUUUGGACUUUGGAAUCCAUCAUUUUUCUCCAAAAUAGGCCAUUCCUCCUGUUUUUCCUAACUUAAUCAAUUCCAUCACAGUCAUCCUAGAGUGGACUUCCUAGUGGUUCAGUGGUUAAAAAAAAAAAAAAAAAAAAUGCCUGCCAAUGCAGGAGACUCAGGAGAUGUGUGUUCGAUCGCUGGGUCGGAAAGAUUCCCUGGAAGAGGAAAUAGCAACCCACUCCAGUAUUCUUGCCUGGGAAAAUCCCACGGACAGAGGAGCCUGCUAGGCUACAGUCCAUGGAAUCCCAAAGAGUUGGAUGCAACUGAGCAUGCACGCAUCCUAGGAGCUCAAACUUGAACCAUUUUGAUUCUUUAUUUCCUAUAUACACUCCCUAAAUCUUAAUGGAUUUUCCUGAACUGUCUCAUCAGGUCCUUCCUUCUUACACCCACUUGCACUUCUUUGAUACGGCUCUCUCCCACCACCCCCUUGCACAGUCCCAGUGGCCUCUGACUUGUCUUUUUUACUUUGUUUGCUUUUAUCUAUUCUACAGGGAGAUCGAAGUCAUUUAUAGUUUGACUCUCCAUAACUUUCUAUCCUGUCUUCCUUCCACCCUCUGCUGUGACUCUGUAGGCACACCAGCCUGCUUGAGGAUCCUGGAAUAUGCCUGUUUUCCUGCCUCUAGGUUUCCAUGGAGACCUUCCAUACUUCUUAAAAUGCACUAGUCUAGGUUUGGCUGUUGUGGUCCUGCAGACAUGAGGAGGCCUGCCUGCCUCCUCCAAGACAGUUCAUCUUUUCAUUCCCUCUGCACCUUGAGUGUCUUACUUUCCUGUAUAUUGUCACAUUUGCCACACUUGUUUGCACUGGAAUAAUUUAUGCAAAUAUCAGAAUUUUCCUUUAGAUUUUGAGCUUCACAUCAGGAGUCGCCCAUUAUUUAUUUCUCUGUCCCCCAGGACUUACCCAUUGUAAAAUGGGGAUGAGCCGCUUGCCAAAUUGAGCGAUGGUUUACAUCUCUGUCAGGGUGGAGAUGUCCAUGUUAUGUUUUAUUCAUGAUAUAUUCCAAAGGCCUAAAACAGUGCUUGGCAAUACUGUUCUGGUAUGUGUUGUGAGUUCCUUUGGGUUGUGGGGUAGGAGAGAAAUCUGAGGUUUAGAAGUUGUCAGUGUAUUUUGAUAAUGACAAACUAGUUUCCAUGUUAAUGAACACUAAGAUGGUCUUGUUGAAUAUGAUACAGAAUGUAAUAGAAUUAUCACAAGUUGGACUCAGAGUUUCACUUGCUGGAAGGGUUGUCUGCAAGGAUAUAAUUAUUACACUGGUGAUCCUAACAUUUUGAGAGGCAUGGUCCUUCAGGGAACAUCUAACAGAUGAGGGCUCCUCUCACUGUCUAGUUCUAGUGGCCAGGACCUUUGAAGGAGUCAUUUUUGUUGGUUUCUGGCUGCUAUAGGCAGCCAGGUCUCCUGAGGGCUUUUUGUAAUCCCUGCAAAGAGUUCCAUCGCAGGGACUUAAGGUGAUAUUUCUACCAUUGUAGUCCAGGAUCAUUUGACCAAAAUCACUGGUUUAGUUGUUAAACUGUAGUCUUGGGGAUUGAAACCAGAUCAGCUGAAUCAUAAUGGAGGCAGGGUCUGUCCAUCUGCAUUUUAAAUAAAUAACCUUGAAUGAUGCUUCUGUCUGCUAAAUAUUAAAAUCUACUAAUUGGAGAGAGAGAGUGACAGAAUAUUUUGAUUGUAAGAUUGAAUGAGAUAGAGAAACACUUUGUAUUUUUUUAAAAAGUAGAUUAAUAGCCUGGAUUGGCAAGGGGUACAUUGUCUUAGGCUGUUCUCUGUUAAGAUGAGUCAUUCAAUUUAGGGUGUUUCUCAGACUUUGAGGAAGGGUGGAGUGCUCUUUUCCAUUGGAAUUUAAAUACAAUUGAGGAAGGACUAAGAUCUCAGGUGAAGAAUUAAGGUGAAACUAAGGGCUUCCCAGAUGGCACAGUGGUGGUGGAGACUCUGCCUGCCAAUGCAGGAGACACAGGAGACCCCGGUUUGAUCCCUGGGUCCGGAAGAUCCCAUUGAGGGGAAAUGGCAACACACUCUGGUAUUCUUGCCUGGAGUAUAUCCUGUGGACAGAGGAGGCUGGCAGACUCCAGUCCAUGGGGUCCCAGAGUCAGAUGCAGCUGAGUGCACAUUUCCAUCAAAUGUGCUCCCCUGUAGCUAAAUUUAUAGCUUAUUUUUUUUUUAAUAUGGAUAACAAUGUUUACAGGGUGGUGUAAAAACAGAAGUUAUCUCAAAUACAUCUAGUCCUCAACAGUUUUUCUUUGUUUUUAGUGUUAUAUCAUAAAACUAUAUCAGAAGCUGACCCCAUUUUGUCCUGUGUAUAAUGCUAUAUUUAGGAAUUAACUUUCUGAGCAAGUACAUCACAUAUAUCAUUGAUACAAACAAUAGGAUGUCAAGAAAGGAAGAACAAAAUAGUCUGUAACUGCUGCAUAUGUGCAUGGUAGUUUAACUAUUAUGAAUGUUCUUAGAAAGGGACAUAGAUUAGUUUUGUUCAUCAAUUAAAGGGAAUUUUACAAUAGAAUUCCAAACAUGGGUACAUUUUAAAAAUCAUAUACAACAACACUUAAUACUUUUACAUAAAUUUAAUGUAAAUUAUAUUGAUUUUAGAGAGUUAAACAAAAUUAUCAAUCGCCCUAUUCCUUAGAACUUUAGAAAUUCCUCUGAUAGGUGAUCCACAGUCUGGUCUAUUUUCAGCUUUGAAAAUAACAGUUUACAUUCAAUUUGCAUAAAAGUAUUAGGUUGGUGCAAAAAUAAUUUUGGUUUUGUAUUGUUGAACUUUGCCAUUUGAUAUAGAAUACAUUCUUAAAUAAAUGUGAUUACUGCGGUCUAUCGGGUCAUGAAGAGUCGGACACGACUGAACGACUUCCCUUUCACUUUUCACUUUCAUGCAUUGGAGAAGGAAAUGGCAACCCACUCCAGUGUUCUUGCCUGGAGAAUCCCAGGGACAGGGGAGCCUGGUGGGCUGCCGUCUAUGGGGUCACACAGAGUCGGACACGACUGAAGUGACUUAGCAGCAGCAGCAUGUUAUAGAAAAAUCUGCCAAGUUGCUGAAUUGUUUUAGUUACUUAUGUAGAUGCUAGAGAUAAUUAGAUGAAUAGUCAUUCUGCUUUGGUGGAACUUAUAUCUUUGUGAAUUCAGCAUCCAUAAAUCCUAAAAUCGUGUUCCUAGGGAUUUCUAACCAAGCCUGUUCCUACUUAGUGUCAAGAAGAGAAGACAUGGGAGUAUGAGGAUAGUAUAACCAAUUAGAUGUGUUAGCUUCCUAGACUUGGCUUUCUCCUGAUGGGGAAACAUGGGACUUAGAUUACAUUUUUCUCAGCAAAAUGUUGACACUUUCCUAGAAAAAGUAGAGUGCCAAUACUAAUUUUUGCCACUAGAUGGCAGACAUCUGCACUUUUGUGUCCAAUGAGUGAGUCAAAUUUUGAAAAAUUAAAAUGAGGUUCAAAAUGAUUCAUUUGAUAUGAAAAAUAAUGUUAGCCUCACAUGAAUGAGAGGUAGUGGUGACUGUUAUGCUCCAUGGAUACAAUACUUUAUGACCAUUUUUAAACUCCCUAGCAUCUAUUUUCAGUGUGGCUACCCACUCUGUUUUCAAAUGCAGGACAACCCAUUUUUUAAACUCUUUUUGAAAGUCACAUUUGUUAGUGAAGUUAUGAUAUAACAGACUCUUGAAUAUACUUUUACCAGUGUUCUUUUUGUACAAAAAAGUUAAAAUAGUCUUUGAAACUGAGGCAUAGACGAGCACAGUUGAUGGAUCUAGGGAGUAUGUUACCUUUACAGAUGUAACAUGAGAAACCAGUGUUUCAUUUUCUUGUGAGAGAAGAAACAAAGAUACUAGGUACUCUGCCUGGCUACUUCAUUUGAUCUACCAUUGGUUACAAGAGUCCAAAGAAAAUGCAGUGGGAACAGAGGUUAUAUCUGGCAAAUCACAUGUAUGAACCAAGACCAACAUCACUGUUACAGAACUGAAAGCUGGCCCAAAUCCUGCUGAUGAACAGCCUGCCUGUCUCCCCCUUUUAUCAAGGAGAUCACUAACCAAAGCAUGAAUCAAAGCAUGUCUUGGAAGACUGAAGGUGCCAUAUAAUGUGUUUUUGAAGUCCAAACCAGACUAAGCUAUAAAAAGUAGUGCCUACUGACUUUCUAAAUUUCUGAAACACCCAUACCAACUGUGUUCAUGUCUGACUACGUCAUGUCCAACAUUUGGCAGCCUCACGGACUGUAGCAUGCCAGGCUUCUCUGUCCUCCACCAUUUCCUGGAGUUUCCUCAGGACUCAAUUUAUAUCCAUUGAGUCGGUGAUACCAACUGAAGAUACUGUCUUUGACUUUCAAAGACAACAUUGUUUUGAGGAAGCUAGGUUCAGAAGGGGUUAUACAAAUUUGCAGCCAAGUCUUGAACCCUAGAUAUGCGUUUAUAGUCUACAAAGAUGUUCACUUAUAAAACAGAAUUUUCUGAGCCAAGUUGUUCUUGGGAUUCAAAGGGUAGAGAAGCCAGAUCUUUUUUGGAGGGAUACCAGGAACUUGGUUUAAAGGAUUUCACUUGAGAGAUCUCACUUUAAAAGACCAGUAAGGUUUAAAUAGAUAGAGAUAUAAGGUAAGCUAUUUAGGCAAAACUUACAUGUGAAAAAUCCCUACUGUUUUUUGGUCUAUAUCAUGCAAUCUCCAUCUCAGAGUCUUUGCACUUACUGUUCUGUUUGGAACAUUCUUUAUCCAGAAAUCUAUACAGCUUGCUUCUGUACUUAAGAUCUCUCCCCAGAUGUCACCUUAUCAGGUCAGCAUUUUGUGAUCACGUCCCAUGAAAGCAUGCACCCCUUCUAUCAUCAUCUCCCUAAUUGUUGUCCUUCUCCUGGAAAUUUAUUACCACUAAGAAAGUGCACAUUUUGUUUUUCAUUUAUUGUCUGUUUAUAUUCUUUACAGCGUGAGCUCUCUGAGACAGAGGAAUUGACCUUUUAAUUGUUAAAUGUCUAGUUCCUAGAACACUGCCUGACCCACAGUGGGCUUCUAUCAAACGCUAACUGAAUAAAUGAAAAUGCAAUGCCACUUUUUAUUAUUGCAGAAAGGAAAACUGACAAACCUAACCCAUAUUGUCCUUCGAACUAGGACCUUUUCUUUUGAACAAUCAUGUUGAAAUAAUUACUGAUAGCAUCAUUUAUAGUGAAUUACAGGUGACAGAUUAAUGACUGUAGACAUGAAGAACAAUGAAAUAAACUAGCACAUUCAGUCAAAUUGAACAGGCCUAGCUUUCUUUUCAAUCAUGAUGUUUUACCCCAUUUUUCUAUUACAAUUAGAUAAGAGGGAAGCAACUUGUUACCUUCUCAUUCUUUUCAAUCCUAUUUUUGUAAAUGCCCACUUACUUAAUUGUGAACAUAUGCUUUUAAAAAGGGAGUAAAGAAAUUCUUAUGGUUAUAAAAUGGAAGAAAAAGAGGAGGGAUUAUCUGAAUUUGGGAUUCUUUAUCAUACUUUGGGAAAUCAACAGUUGAGUGCCUGCUGUGUGUCACUAUGCAAAAUGUGAUACACAGCCAAAGGUGUGCUGGCCCCGGAUGCUCUUAGUUUUCUGUGACUUUGCUAAUAUGAUUUAGAGUGGUGCAGUUACACUGCGUCUGUUUAAAUAGUGUACUCUUAGGGGCUUCCCCGGUGGCUCAGUGGUAGAGAAUCUGCCAGCAAUGCAGGAGCCACAGGAAAUGAGGGUUCCAUCUUUGGGUUGGGAAGAUCCCCUAGAGGAGGGCAUGGCAACCCACCCCAGCAUUCUUGCCUGGAGGAUCCCAUGGACAGAGGAGCCUGGCAGUCUGCAGCCCAUUGGGUGGCAAAGAGUUGGACAUGCCUGAAACGACUUAGCACGCACGCAACCUAUUCUGUUAGAUUUUUUGACAACAAAUUCUAGGCUUGAAAUAUUGCUAAACACACUUGAAGGUAAUGUUUUCUGUAUUCCCAUCUGUCACAUAUUUAUUGAGUACUGCUAAUGCCAAGAUGCUGUUCCAUGCUGGAGAUAGAGUGAUACAGAAAGAAGACCGUGUCUUGUCUUCAUGGAGUUUGAGAUUUGAGUGGAUCAACUAAUUUUUCUUUCUGUUAAGAAGUAUCUUUAAAAAGUAAUAUAGUAAUAUUACUUAAUAUAUUAAUAUAGUGUAACAGACUGUCUGGUUUGAAGAAUGCUGAUGUGGACAUAAUCAUGAGAAGAUCAACAUCCCUAGUGCUGUAAUUUGUGUUAGUGGUUGGGUAGAAGACACUUCCUGGAGACAUGAUUUCUCUGAAACCUGAAAAAAGUUAAAGUGUUAGUCGCUCAGUCGUGUCUGACUCUUUGGGCAUCACCAAAUCACACACACCCACCUAAGUUUAGGAACUAUCUUGACUUCAGUUGGGCCUGAGUUUUUCCCAUCUCAGAUCUUGAAAUCGUAUGUGUAUGUGAAAACCUUUGGCAGUCUGGGCUCUGAAUCAAAUCAGAAAACAGUAUUUGUGCCGGUGUGACUUCAAAGCAGAUAUUUGAAAAGUUCAGAAGAUAUCUUACCAAGAUCACAUGGAAGUUAGUGGUCUAGUGGAAUUUGGGAUAAUCAUGAGCUUGACUCAUUGAUCUCUAAAAAGAUAACGGUGUCCUUGGAGUUGAAAUCAGGGAGUUCACUGAAAUGAUAAUGUCUUUUGUUUAAAAUCAGUGAUUUAGAUAAUAGGGAAGUUUUGAUUUGAGGGUGUCUGAUAUUAUCCUUAAAAAUGGUUUUCCAUCACAAAAUGCUCUCAAGCUCCCAGAGUUUCUAAGGUCCUUCUCAGUUUUUACCAAUUUACAUUCUAAAUGUUUCCAACCAUUAUUUAUUCUUUUACCUUUUAUUUUAAUCCAGUGUUUCUCCACUGGAUUUUCCUCAUUAAUGCCACCCUUAGGAGCCUUUUAGACAUUUUUUUCCCCCUAAUAAUCUCUCUACCACAUGAAUAUUUCUAAAAUGGGAAAAGGACAAUUUUUUUGGACUCCUUUUUUUGGUUAAAUAAUUUUUUAAAAAAUCGUUUGACCAUGCUGUGAGGCAUAUAGGAUCCUAGUUCCCUGACCAGGGAUGGAACCCAUGCCCCUUACAUUGGAAGCAUUGGAGUCUUAACCACUGGACCUUCAGGGAAAUCCAACCACGUGAAGUUUUAAUACUAUAUAUUUAUAGCAUAUUUGUUUAUAAAAUAUGACCAUUUAGAGAGUCAGAAAUCAUUGCAAUCUCUAAGACUUUUUGCCCUCUCAGAACUCAUUUUCACCCCAUUUGGGCCAAUAUCACUGCCAUGGAAUGCAUACUUUAAUCAUUUAUGUCAUGGUGAUACGAAGGCGGGAGUGACUUCAUCCACCUCACACUCACAGUUCCCCAGUCCCCUUGCUUGACUCUCUCCCUAGAAGUUCUGCAGUGUUGACGAAAUUCGCUCAUUAAGCCUGCAACAUCCCUCCUCACCCACUUCCUCCAUCGCCACCUCUUUCUUGAAUCCUCUGGUCCUUUAGGACUGGUACUUGAGUGAGCUCACCUUCAGUCCCUCAAGAAGGAUUUCCGUGGAAAUGUCUGCAGGGUUGUCCCUUAAUACUUGGUUUCUGAGCAGUAGAAAAAAUCAAUAUACUUUUUUUCUUAAGCAAAAUGAGAAACUCUAAGAAUGAUUCCCUUGAUCUUCCUGCUCCUUCCUGCUUUUUUCAGCUCCUUUGGCUCAGGGAGUCCUAAACUGGUUGUGUUCUGCCUGGCAAAACUGCCUGUUCUCAGUAUCCAAGGGCAGUUGAGAUAAAAGCCUGCCCAGAUAUGUCCAUUCUG